rnacentral:rRNA from 1 species
GAUGAACGCUGGCGGCGCACAUAAGACAUGCAAGUCGAACGAGUAGAGAUAUUUCUUUUAGUUAUAUCAAAGCUAGUGGCGGACUGGUGAGUACAAUGUAAGCAACCUGCCUAUUAGAGGGGAACAACAGUUAGAAAUGACUGCUAAUACCGCAUAUGCCAUAAUGUUCACAUGAACAUAGUGGGAAAGGAGCAAUUCGCUAAUAGAUGGGCUUACACCUGAUUAGCUAGUUGGUAAGGUAACGGCUUACCAAGGCAACGAUCAGUAGCCGAACUGAGAGGUUAAACGGCCACAUUGGGACUGAGAUACGGCCCAGACUCCUACGGGAGGCAGCAGUCGGGAAUAUUGCGCAAUGGAGGAAACUCUGACGCAGUGACGUCGCGUGCAGGAAGAAGGUUUUCGGAUUGUAAACUGCUUUAGUACAGGGAAGAACAAAGACAGUACCUGUAGAAUAAG